GAUAUCAGCCAUAUCGCCCUGCAGCUCUUAACUGGGUACCCACUGAAGCUAAGAAGGGUUGAGCCUGGUCAGUUCCUGGAUGGGAGUCCUCCUGGGAAGCUAUGGUUGCUGCUGAAA
rnacentral:rRNA from 1 species